AUGAACGCUAGCUACAGGCUUAACACAUGCAAGUCGAGGGGCAUCAGUUUGGUUUGCUUGCAAACCAAAGCUGGCGACCGGCGCACGGGUGAGUAACACGUAUCCAACCUGCCUCAUACUCGGGGAUAGCCUUUCGAAAGAAAGAUUAAUAUCCGAUAGCAUAUAUUUCCCGCAUGGGUUUUAUAUUAAAGAAAUUCGGUAUGAGAUGGGGAUGCGUUCCAUUAGUUUGUUGGCGGGGUAACGGCCCACCAAGACUACGAUGGAUAGGGGUUCUGAGAGGAAGGUCCCCCACAUUGGAACUGAGACACGGUCCAAACUCCUACGGGAGGCAGCAGUGAGGAAUAUUGGUCAAUGGACGCGAGUCUGAACCAGCCAAGUAGCGUGAAGGAUGACUGCCCUAUGGGUUGUAAACUUCUUUUAUAUGGGAAUAAAGUGGUCCACGUGUGGAUUUUUGUAUGUACCAUAUGAAUAAGGAUCGGCUAACUCCGUGCCAGCAGCCGCGGUAAUACGGAGGAUCCGAGCGUUAUCCGGAUUUAUUGGGUUUAAAGGGAGCGUAGGCGGAUUGUUAAGUCAGUUGUGAAAGUUUGCGGCUCAACCGUAAAAUUGCAGUUGAUACUGGCAGUCUUGAGUGCAGUAGAGGUGGGCGGAAUUCGUGGUGUAGCGGUGAAAUGCUUAGAUAUCACGAAGAACUCCGAUUGCGAAGGCAGCUCACUGGAGUGUAACUGACGCUGAUGCUCGAAAGUGUGGGUAUCAAACAGGAUUAGAUACCCUGGUAGUCCACGCUGUAAACGAUGAUUACUAGGUGUGGGGGGUCUGACCCCUUCCGUGCCGGAGUUAACACAAUAAGUAAUCCACCUGGGGAGUACGGCCGCAAGGUUGAAACUCAAAGGAAUUGACGGGGGCCCGCACAAGCGGAGGAACAUGUGGUUUAAUUCGAUGAUACGCGAGGAACCUUACCCGGGCUUAAAUUGCAAAUGAAUUAUGGGGAAACCCAUACGCCGCAAGGCAUUUGUGAAGGUGCUGCAUGGUUGUCGUCAGCUCGUGCCGUGAGGUGUCGGCUUAAGUGCCAUAACGAGCGCAACCCUUAUCUUCAGUUACUAACAGGUUAUGCUGAGGACUCUGGAGAGACUGCCGUCGUAAGAUGUGAGGAAGGUGGGGAUGACGUCAAAUCAGCACGGCCCUUACGUCCGGGGCUACACACGUGUUACAAUGGGGGGUACAGAAGGCCGCUACCUGGUGACAGGAUGCCAAUCCCAAAAACCUCUCUCAGUUCGGAUCGAAGUCUGCAACCCGACUUCGUGAAGCUGGAUUCGCUAGUAAUCGCGCAUCAGCCAUGGCGCGGUGAAUACGUUCCCGGGCCUUGUACACACCGCCCGUCAAGCCAUGAAAGCCGGGGGUACCUGAAGUACGUAACCGCAAGGAGCGUCCUAGGGUAAAACUGGUAAUUGGGGCU
rnacentral:rRNA from 1 species